rnacentral:rRNA from 1 species
GACGAACGCUGGCGGUGUGCUUAAUACAUGCAAGUCGAACGAAGAGGCCCUUUCGGGGGUACGUUCAGUGGCGGACGGCUGAGUAAUACAUAGGUAACGUGCCCUUUACUGGGGGAGUAACACCGGGAAACGUGGUGCUAAUACCGCAUAAGUGCCAGGUUGCAAUACCUGUCAUUAAAGAAUUUCGGUGAAGGAUCGGCCUGUGUCGGAUUAGCUUGUUGGUAGGGUAAUGGCCUACCAAGGCGACGAUCCGUACGUUGGUC